rfam:Actinobaculum sp. oral taxon 183 str. F0552 genomic scaffold Scaffold26, whole genome shotgun sequence.
UGAGUCGGCCAGGCGGCCGCGUGGGCGUCGCCCACGAGGAACGUCCGGGCUCCACAGGGAACGGUGGUGGGUAACGCCCACCCGGGGUGACCCGCGGGAAAGCGCCACAGAGAACAGACCGCCGCGCGAGCGGCAAGGGUGAAACGGCGGUGUAAGAGACCACCGCGUUCCGGGCGACCGGGACGGCAGGGCAAGCCCCACCGGGAGCAAGGCCAGACAGCGCGCGGUGAGGCGUCCCGUCUAGCGCGCGGGUGGGCCGCUCGAGCCUCUCGGCAACGCGAGGCCUAGAUGGAUGGUCGCCGCCGCCUUCGAGCCGCGUGCCGGAGGCGGAACAGAACCCGGCGUACCGGCCGGCUCAUCCG